UACGGGGGGGGGUAAGCGUUGUUCGGAAUUACUGGGCGUAAAGGGCUCGUAGGCGGCCAACUAAGUCAUACGUGAAAUCCCUCAGCUUAACUGGGGAACUGCGUGUGAUACUGGAUGGCUUGGAUUUGGGAGAGGGAUGCGGAAUUCCAGGUGUAGCGGUGAAAUGCGUAGAUAUCGGGAGAACACCAGUGGCGAAGGCGGCUUUCUGGGCAUUUCCUGACGCUGAGACGGCGAAAGCGUGGGGAGCGAACCGGG
rnacentral:rRNA from 1 species